rnacentral:rRNA from 1 species
UACGUAGGGUGCAAGCGUUGUCCGGAAUUAUUGGGCGUAAAGAGCUCGUAGGCGGUCUGUCGCGUCGGCUGUGAAAACCCGGGGCUCAACCCCGGGCCUGCAUUCGAUACGGGCAGACUAGAGUUCGGUAGGGGAGACUGGAAUUCCUGGUGUAGCGGUGAAAUGCGUAGAUAUCAUGAGGAAGACCGGCGGCGAAGGCGGAUCUCUGGACAGUUCCUGACACUGAGGCACGAAGGCUAGGGGAGCAAACGGG